rnacentral:rRNA from 1 species
CCCUUAGAUGUUCUGGGCCGCACACGCGCUACACUGAAGGAGGCAGCGUGUACUCCUGGAUCGAAAGAUUUGGGUAACCCGCGAAUCUCCUUCGUGCUAGGGACUGAGGUUUGCAAUUAUCCUUCAUGAACGAGGAAUUCCCAGUAAGUGCAAGUCAUAAGCUUGCGCUGACUACGUCCCUGCCCUUUGUACACACCGCCCGUCGCUACUACCGAUUGAAUGAUUUAGUGAGGACUUCGGACUGGGACCGAUGCGGCUUUCGGGCUGCGUCGGUAUUCUGGAAAGAUGUCCAAACUGUAUCAUUUAGAGGAAGUAAAAGUCGUAACA